AAACAAUCAGGUGCCCUGAUUAAUGUCUGUCCCUGGAAGGAUUUUCCUUCACCACCAUACUUCAGACCUUUGCUGGUAAAAUAUCACUAACUCUCUACUGAUACUCUGGGAUUACCUCAUCUCCACUGCGUUCAAGGAGCCUGCAUAGAUAACAGCAGACAUCCACAUAAGGUAAAUGAUGACCAUGAUGAGAACAUGGUAAGUGU